ACCAAACAAUUUUGAGCCAAGACCCAUGUGUCUUUCAUUCAUUUAUCUGGCCAACGGAUGAUGUAGUUUUGAGGUAUUUGAUACUCAACUGAAUAUGCUCUUGAAUGGCUCACAGCUUCCCGGUGGUCAGCAUGCGUCAGCAUUAGCUUCACUAAUUAAAACCAUUUGAGAAUGAUCAGCUUUAAACGAAUAAAGGAGGGCACAUCAUCUACAUCUACAUGACUAGCCGAGAUGGAUUGCAAGGAAGAAAGUCUGAAUGAAUUGUUGGAUGGAUGGAUAUUCAUAUGAACGUUGGCUGAAAUGUUGCUUCACUCGUGCCCGAGCAUCUCUCUCAGCACGGUCAGGUAGCUGCCACAUGAAUUUAAUUGAAAGUAGACAUUUGAUAAAUAUCAUCCCAUAAAUAUGCAAUGAUUUAUGCGAACAACCACUCUCGCAAACCCUAAACGAAGCUAAGUAAGACCUUGUCGCCGACAAUAAAGAAAAAACUCAUAAUGAAAAUUAAAAUGUUUCAUCUUUUUUCGAAGCCUGG